CUGGGUUGGGAUGAGUGGCGAACGGGUGAGUAACACGUGAGUAACCUGCCCCCUUCCUUUGGGAUAACGGUCGGAAACGGCUGCUAAUACCGGGUAUUCACUGUCCUUCGCAUGGGGGGUGGGUGGAAAGGUUUUUUCUUGGUGGGGGAUGGGCUCGCGGCCUAUCAGCUUGUUGGUGGGGUGAUGGCUUACCAAGGCUUUGACGGGUAACCGGCCUGAGAGGGUGACCGGUCACAUUGGGACUGAGAUACGGCCCAG
rnacentral:rRNA from 1 species